GCGAUAUUUGCCAUCAGUUUACGUGGCCACAGGUUGGCUGAGAAGACCUAAAGGAAGCAGUCAGCCCAGUCUUGUUUGUGGAGAGGUCUUCAUUUAGAAACAGAGAAGACAGAAAGCUGCGGAGGGAGACAUUUGCAGUGGCAGGUCUCUAAAAUAUCUAAACAACAGCUUACAAACCCUCACAAACCUUCCUAAAAGCUAAAAGAACUCAGCGAGUCUUGCCAUGAUUAGCCCUUCCCAGAAGAGAAGGAAGACCAAGGAAGUCCUUUGUUCAGGGUGAGGAAUAAAUAUAUGGCCAUCUUGCGCCCAAACAAAGAAGACAGCAAAGUGUGCAUGUCCACUGGUAUGUCAGGGUUCCCGCGGGUCCUUAAAAAGUCUUAAAAAGUCUUAAAUUUAGUUUAUCAAAUUUAAGGUCAUAAAAAGUCUUAAACUGUACAAGAAAGUCUUAAUUAUGAUUAAGAGGUCUUAAAUUUUAGGCAUGGGAAGACCAGAAUUGCGAUACAGCUUAGUGUCACGAUUAAACUUCAAAAAACUAUGAUUUCAUUAAAUAAACAUGAGUGCUGCAUGUUCAAAGUCCGGUGCUGAGCUGCUUUGUGUACUCUGGUUACCAGGGAAACACAUGUCUGCAGUUCCGAAUGCGCCAUCUGCUGCCAGAGAUUGAAUGUGCACUUUCAAUAAGUCUGUUGUUUUGAGUAGGGUAUUCUUACAAUACAGGAGGCUGUAGUUUCAGGACCGCAUUUCUACAGGGUGGGCCAUUUAUAUGGAUACAUCACACAUCAGACUUAUUGGGAAUUUCACAAGAAAAACAAUGGUGUGCUUGGUUUUAACGUAACUUUAUUCUUUCAUGAGUUAUUUACAAGUUUCUGACCACUUAUAAUGUGCCACAAACAGGACGUUAAUAUCACCAACCAUUCCCAUUUUAUUAAGGUGUAUCCAUAUAAAUGGCCCACCCUGUAGGACCCUGUAAUUUUUAUUGUAUUGUAUUGUAUUGUAUUGUAUUUAUUUAUUUGUCAUAUGUAUGCAUUAACAGCUCAUACCAUUUAUAGCAGUUGUUAUUCAAUUCUGUAUAUUAUUAUUGUUAAGAAAAUACUGAAUGUAGUUGUUUAAUUGUAUACACUUAAUUAUUAUCCUAGCCAACUCCUAAUCCUAAACUUACCCCUGGGUAACCCUCUUGAAAUAUUUAACCUAAUUUAUUUCAAUAUGUUCUAGACUUCAGUUCAUUAGCUGCUGCGCUUCAUGUCUGACGUGUGACCCACUUAACAAAGUGAAGUAAACAGUAAAACAAUUGCCAUACAAAUUAAUGUGUUUAUUAGUACUUUAAUAAAUUUAAAAUAAUUUGAAUACAAAUACUAAUUUACAACAUCCAGCAGCACAAUGAACUGUUUUGGACAGUUAAAUGGGCUAAAUGGAGAUUGCAGACACCCCCUUGAGCACUCAACUUUAUGUCAGCUUUUACAUUAAAAAUAAGAUGGAAAGAUAAAAAAAAAAUUAAUAGUUUCAAUGGAUCUAGUCUUUGCGUCUGUUUGAUGUUACUUUGUUGGAAUGGAAUUGCUAGAUGGCACUGUCCCAAAAAAUAGGGUCCCAGAAAUGUGGUUUUGCAGGAACAUAGUAUUGGGGUUGUUUUUGUUCAGACCAAAGCGAAAAGCGACCCAUAUUUUUACCCUGCAAACAUGCAGAGCUGUAAAUGUGAACUGGUGAAUCAUUAAGAAGAUAAUUCAUCAUAAAAAUCUAAACACUAACAUGUAUUUGUAUGUUUUUUUAAAUUGAUAUAAUAAUUUAUUGAUAAUAAUUAUUUCAAUUAAUAUAAGUAAUACUUUUGACUCAUCUAUUUUCUUAGAAAUGUGAAAUGUAUCACUUUAUAAACCUUUUGUUUUUGUAAAAAAUCUGAACAGUAAAUCAGUUUUUACAGUAGUUUACAGUCAUUUUACAGUUUAAUAUUUAACCAUAGACAUUGCCUUACCCUGCUCAUAUGGUAUUAAUUUUAUUUGUGCAGGUCUUAAAAAAGGUCUUAAAGUCUUAAAUUUGAGCUUAAAAAUCCUGCAGGAACCCUGUAUGUCUGUACUGAAGCAGUGCUGUAUUAUGUAGUACAGCGUUUUAUGAUGAUCUCUCACAGGACUGUUCAUGUCAGCAGUGAUUAUUCUUUUUUGUAAUAAUUUGUAAUUUUAUUUAUUUAUUUACUUAUACUGGGUACAACUUACAAUUAUAGCAUGUUAGCAAAGUGUGACUGGAACAUUUUUUAUCUUAAGUUUUUAAAAACAACACCAACUGUUUUUCAGCACUGUUAUAAAAGUGGUUUAGUUGAUGUUGAUAAUCAUUAUUUUCUCAAACAGUAUCAAAUGUCUUAUAUGUACCACAUGAUCUGUAUCAAAGUUGACUGGAAUGGAUUGUGUGACUUUAAGAACAUUUCAUCACUCAUUUGUGUGUCUUCAGCUGCAGUGAACUGAUAAAUAUAUGAUGUUAAUGUAUUUUUAAUAAUCCAUUAUUAUUUUAAUUAUUUUAAUAAUCCAUAUUUUUUCUUAAAUGUCAUUUGUCUUGAUGCUACUUUAUUAACUUUAU